rnacentral:sRNA from 1 species
UGACAUGGAUGGAAUUUUAUGAAUCCC